rnacentral:ncRNA from 1 species
CUCCAGCCUGGGCAACAGAACAAGGCCCUGUCUCAAAAAAAAAUAUAUAUAUAUAUAUAAUAUAUUACUGCUAGCCAACAUGAAUAUUAUAUA